AUUGAACGCUGGCGGCAGGCCUAACACAUGCAAGUCGAGCGGAUGAAGGGAGCUUGCUCCUGGAUUCAGCGGCGGACGGGUGAGUAAUGCCUAGGAAUCUGCCUGGUAGUGGGGGAUAACGUCCGGAAACGGGCGCUAAUACCGCAUACGUCCUGAGGGAGAAAGUGGGGGAGCUUCGGACCUCACGCUAUCAGAUGAGCCUAGGUCGGAUUAGCUAGUUGGUGGGGUAAAGGCCUACCAAGGCGACGAUCCGUAACUGGUCUGAGAGGAUGAUCAGUCACACUGGAACUGAGACACGGUCCAGACUCCUACGGGAGGCAGCAGUGGGGAAUAUUGGACAAUGGGCGAAAGCCUGAUCCAGCCAUGCCGCGUGUGUGAAGAAGGUCUUCCGAUUGUAAAGCACUUUAAGUUGGGAGGAAGGGCAGUAAGUUAAUACCUUGCUGUUUUGACGUUACCAACAGAAUAAGCACCGGCUAACUUCGUG
rnacentral:rRNA from 1 species